AAAACUUGAAAAUAGGGUUAUUUAGUGCUUUUGGCAAACAAACCCCUCAGCCAAACAGCUUGCAUGUCUAGAAGGAGGAGUAGCCCUUACUCCUAUCGGUUAAGUCUUGUUGAGCUUAGUAGCUCAGCCUUGUUGUGGCUCCUGUUUUUCAGGUGUAGUUGCUGCUUCCGACCCCUCUCCGGUUGGUGCUUGGUCGCCCCGGCUCCCGCCAGGCUGGACGGUCGAGUGGGACCCCUCCUCGGACGGCGAGGAGAGGACUCAGUGAUGUUCUGGCUGGCCUCGCCCGGACAUCCGACCCCGACGAAGUCUUCCGCUAGUGUUUCUCCGAUGUUUUUCUUGAAAUCUUGUAAAACUCUGAUGUUGGAUUUUUAUGGCCGAACCAAUUGGGUAAAA
rnacentral:lncRNA from 1 species